UACGGAGGGUGCAAGCGUUGUUCGGAUUUACUGGGCGUAAAGGGCGCGUAGGCGGCAUAUUAAGUCAUCUGUGAAAUCUCCGAGCUUAACUCGGAACUGUCAGCUGAUACUGAUGUGCUAGAGUGCGGAAGGGGCAAUCGGAAUUCUUGGUGUAGCGGUGAAAUGCGUAGAUAUCAAGAGGAACACCUGAGGUGAAGACGGGUUGCUGGGCCGACACUGACGCUGAGUGCGCGAAAGCCAGGGGAGCAAACGGG
rnacentral:rRNA from 1 species